rnacentral:rRNA from 1 species
GGCGGCAAGAUAGCCAUUUAGAGGAACCUGCCCUAUAAACGAUGAACCACGAAUACCUUACUUUUUUUUGAGAUCAGUUUGUAUACCGCUGUUGGCAGUUAGUUUCAUUAGAAAACUUUCAUUAAUAAUAUAAUUAUUGACUUCAAGUAAAGGUGCAGCAAAUAAGAAAGACAGAGGUGGGUUACAUUUAAUUGAAUAAAACGGAUAAAGUUAUGAAAUUACUUUUGAAGGUGGAUUUAAUAGUAAAGUUUAAUAAAACUUGAUGGGAGCUCUGUCUUGUGUACACACCGCCCGUCG